GUGCUCACUUCAGCAGCACAUAUACUAAAACUGGAAAGAUACAGAGAAGAUCGGCAUGGCCUCUGUGCAAGGAUGACACACAAACUCACGAAGCAUUCCCCAUUUCC